UACGUAGGGUGCAAGCGUUUAAUCGGAAUUACUGGGCGUAAAGCGUGCGCAGGCGGUGAUGUAAGACAGGUGUGAAAUCCCCGGGCUUAACCUGGGAACUGCAUUUGUGACUGCAUCGCUGGAGUGCGGCAGAGGGGGGAUGGAAUUCCGCGUGUAGCAGUGAAAUGCGUAGAUAUGCGGAGGAACACCGAUGGCGAAGGCAAUCCCCCUGGGCCUGCACUGACGCUCAUGCACGAAAGCGUGGGGAGCAAACAGG
rnacentral:rRNA from 1 species